ensembl:lncRNA
AUGGCCAGGUCACGGCAUUGGGAACGGCAUCGGGAACGGCCUCAGAUAAGGGCACCGCCUCGGGAACGGCCUUGGACACGGGUAUCGCCUCCGGAACCAUCUCGGGCCCCGCAUCGGCCUCCGGAACAGCAUCAGGAACGGCCUCAGGAAUGGCCUCAGGAACGGCAUUGGACAAGGACACCGCCUCGGGAACGGCCUCGGGCACGACCUCGGGCUCCGCCUCGGGGAACAGCCUCGGGCUCGACAUCGGACAAGGACACCGCCUCGGGGAACGACCUCGGCAUCGGGCACCGCCUCGGGAGCGGUCUCGGAACGGCCUCCGGAAUGGCCUCAGGAACGGCAUCGGACAAGGACACCGCCUCGAGACGGUCUCGGGCACCGCCUCGGGAACGGCCUCGAGACGGCCUUGGACAAGGACACCGCCUCGGGAACGACCUCGGCCUGUGCAUCGGGCACCGCCUCGGCCUCCAGAACAGCAUCGGGCACCGCUUCGGCAUCGGGCACAGCCUCGGGCACCGCCUCGACCUGCGGAACAGCAUCGGUCACCGCCUCGGCAACGGGCACAGCCUCGGCAUCGGGCACAGCCUCGGUAUCGGAAACAACAUCGGGCACCGCCUCGACCUCCGCCUCGGUCUCGGGCAUUACAUCGGGAACCGUCUCUGGCACCGCCUCGGCAUCGGACAUUGCAUCGGGAACCGCAUCGGGCACCGCCUCGGCAUCGGGGACCGCCUCGGCAUCGGGCACCGCCUCGGCCUCGUGCAUAGCAUCGGGAACCGCUUCUGUCUCGGCCACCUUCUCGGCCUCGGGCAUUGCAUCGGGAACCGCCUCGGGCUCGGCAUCGGGCACCACCUCGGGAACGGCCUCGGCAUCGGGCACCGCCUCGGGAACCUUGGACACCUCCACCUGGACGACCGCGGCCUGCUCGGGAACGUCCUCCUGGACGGCAGCGGCCUGCUCGGGAACGUCCUCCUGGACGGCAGCGGCCUGCUCGGGAACGUCCUCCUGGAUGGCAGCGGCCUGCUCGGGAACGUCCUCCGUGCUUUGAGGAACGGCUGACGCCUGUCUCCUCCUCCUGCGGCCUCUAUGAUGACGUGCCGGUGGCUCCUUGACGGAAGACUCAGGCGUUGAGUCAACCAUCUUGUCUGCCAACACAGGUGUAGAUUCGACCCUCCUGUGCAGUGGUGCUGGGCUGGUGGUCAUCUCGUGCUGUGGUGCUGGGCUGGCGGCCAUCUUGUGCUGUGGCGCUGGGCUGGCGGCCAUCUUGUGCUGUGGUGCUGAACUGGCGGCCAUCUUGUGCUGUGGCGCUGGGUUGGCGGCCAUCUUGUGCUGUGGCGCUGGGCUGGCGGCCCUCUUCUCUGGAGACACAGGUGUGGUCGAAGUAUCCCAUUGAGCACGAUGGCACAGGUAAUGGGUAAACCCCCAAAAGUCUAGGAUCUCCAGCCCCUUCAUCUCCCAUUGAGGUAAAGGGUCAUCUAGACAGUUGUUAAAAAAGUCCUUCAGUGCUGCAUCGUUAUAACCCAUCCCGACCGCCAUGGUCCAAAACAAUUGCGCCAGGCCACCCACCUCACUCCCCCUUUGACGAAGGGUGGUUAAGUUCCAGAAUCUCCCCCUCCGUUCCUCCAUGGUGGCUGGGGAACCGAUUCGAAAUCCCACACCGCUGGAUCUAGGCAUGACGGAGUCCUUCUGUCACGACACGCACACAAACAGGUAGAUCCAAUUGCAGUAUGUUUUAUUAGGAUAAUCCAAAUCUCAUGGUCAGCCAGGCAAAGGUCACAAUCCAGGUAAGCAGUCCAGAAACAAGAAACAUACACAACAUCCGAGAACCACGACAAACCAGGGUGACAUUCAACAAGGACUCCGUGACAAUGACAGAACAACCGGGGUAUUUAUACACAAGGAAAUGACAAUGCUAACGGGGAAUUGGCUGAGUGCAAUGAUUGAUAACCACGGACAGCUGAGUGCAAUGAGCAGUGAUGAAACAGACAAGACUAUGGGAAAUGCAGUUCUAAAGUGGAGUGACGAUAAGGGGAAGUGAGACCUCUAGUGGCCACCCAGGGAGACACAGAACAGACACCGUGACAGACAGAUGAUGCAUUAGUGAUAAGAACUGAACACUGAAGCAUGUACAUUAUAUGUGAUGCUUGGAAUUGGAUUUGGC